rnacentral:rRNA from 1 species
UACGUAGGGGGCGAGCGUUGUCCGGAUUUAUUGGGCGUAAAGAGCGUGUAGGCGGCCAGGUAGGUCCGUUGUGAAAACUCGAGGCUCAACCUCGAGACGUCGAUGGAAACCAUCUGGCUAGAGUCCGGAAGAGGAGAGUGGAAUUCCUGGUGUAGCGGUGAAGUGCGCAGAUAUCAGGAAGAACACCUAUGGCGAAAGCAGCUCUCUGGGACGGUACUGACGCUGAGACGCGAAAGCGUGGGGAGCAAACAGG